AGGAGAGGCCGAAAUGGAUGCAAAUCAGCUCACUGGACGAAUUGAAGACGAAAGUCGGACAUGUUAUUGUCAUGAUUCUACUGGUUAAGAUGUUCGAGAGAAGUAAAAUGGUGACGAUAGCUACAGGCACCGAUCUUCUCAGCUACUCAAUAUGUAUUUUCUUGUCUUCUGCGUCGCUUUACAUCCUCCACAAUCUUCACAAGACGG
rnacentral:misc_RNA from 1 species